AAUGUGCAACUGUGCAAGUAAAUAUAUAUAUAUAUUUUUUGUUGGUAACCAUGUUAAUGGUGCGAAGUAUGACUAAUUUCCGCCAAAGAACCCGGAUGACCACUUUUAGUGGGGGUCUCGCCUCCUAACCACAUUUUUUCAUUCACAAGACUCGAACUUGAUACCUUGCUUAAGGGAUAUGAGUUCAAUUCCAUGCUAAUGUGAUGUUGGUUUGUUGGCAUAUUGAAAAAAUAAUUUGCGUGUAAGUCUAGCAUUGUGAAAGUGUGGCGUUAUAUGGAAAUUACUUUUUCUCCAAAGAAUUUACUGAUGCAUAGCUGAAUCUGAAUGAGACUGGUCUUACACCAAAGUAUGUGGAAAUAUCUGGGAAGGGGAAACCAGAAAGUAACUAAUUGGGAAAAAAGGUAAGAGAAAUAAUACGCUAGACUACUUUAUAUUGGUCUACCGAUACACCAUUUACACACUCUUUAAAUUUUUUCAGUAAAGUCCUCCCAGGAGUGGAGUGUACUCAAUCUCGUCGAAGAUGCAACCACGGUUGUUCUCAAUCGGUAACUAUAGGCUGUGAAACAUUNNNNNNNNNNNNNNNNNNNNNNNNNNNNNNNNNNNNCUCCCUAUUUCUUCCAAAUACCAAUCAAAUUUUUACUCUCCUCAACAUGCCACCGGGGAAGAUGGCAGCAGUACUACCAUAGCUACCAUUAGCAUUUAGCACUUCCUCCAUCACCACAUGGAAACAGCAUAUUGACUUGUAACAUGUUUUUUGAUGUCAUUGCCAUGAAAACUUACUAACAAAUGCCCAUUACAAAUAAAGCAUAUCCCAACAGAACUAGAUCAAAACAAAAAUAAUAAUGAGUUUAUUACAAAAAAGAAAAAGAAAAAAAGAAGUCUAAAACCCAACAAAACAACAUACAGAAGCAAUAAGCACUAAAAUUUGAGUCUCCACAC
rnacentral:lncRNA from 1 species